rnacentral:rRNA from 1 species
GUCUAUAGCCAUGCCACCCUGAACAAGCCUGAUCCCAUCUGAUCCGGGAAGCUAAGCAGGGUUGGGCCUGGCUAGUACUGGAUGGGAGACCACCAAGGAAAGACCAGGUGCUGUAGGCA